CGACGUCGACGACGCCGCAGGGCAGAUCGCCGGCGAUUUGAGCCCCGACUUUCCAGAUCCCGUGCCCCUCUCCUCUACCGAUCCCCACAUCUUCUCCUCACGCCAACAACCGACGCUGCUGGAUCGGGCCAGAUCCAGCGAUCACCGGCGGGAAGAAGGGUUCUGAAGGUGAACGACACAGUGAGUUCCAGCAGGGAGGUUCUUGGUUGUGGAUUGAUCUCUUCUUGAUCUUGCUUGAUCCAGGCAGUGAAGGGGUGUUCCACAGCUACUUACUUUGUUUCUACCAACCGACAGCAAUUUCGGCCACAAAUCUUGAUCCAGCAGUAACAAGGUUGAUGCUGUCCAGAGAGUUCCAGUCGCUAGUCCCCUGCAGUUCACGAGGAUGUUUAUUUGUCUUUUGGUGUCUUUUACUAGACUAUGUUGAGACUUGUUUUAUGAUGAUACACUUGGGUCUUAUAUGGACAUUGUCGAUGAGUUUUUAUUUGGAUUUGUUUUACUACAUGCCUGCCUGGACGGCAGAAGAGGUAAGUUGAUCUUAUCGUCGAAUUUGAGCUUUAUGAGUGUAGUGGAGUAGGAAUAUGUUUUGAG